CAAGACCCACAUGUUUACCUCUACAGUGCCAACCUCAUUCUGAUACUGUGCAUCACUCUCUAAUCAUUCCACUCUCAGCACUCUUUUUGCUGGGGAGAAAGAAGAGGGGAAGGAUGAUUACUCAGAGACUGCUCAAGUCACUCUGAGGUUGACAAACCUGAGGAAGUCAUCACUUCUUUAUCCUGUGCCUUGGAAUAAAGACAUAUGAAAUGAAACCACUCCAACUCUAAGCUUGGAGUCAAGUACGACCCAUUCAAAGUCAAACAGACAAGAUUAGGAAACCAAUGCGAACCUACAGACCAAAGACUAGAAGAAAAAAGAUUAACUGCUCCUUUUCCUCCACAUUCUUAAGGCCUUCUAAGAAAUUUCCUUCCCAAUUCACUUGAUGCUGCUUGCUUCACUGAAGCUACAGGUAGAAGCUGACUACCAAAGGAGAAGGCUGAGGAGAAAUUGCUCCAUGAGAUAAGGCAAGACAUUUAUCCCUGAAUGCUGUCUCUCCAAAUGCACAGAAACAUGUCAUAAAGUGUGGGACUAGGGUCUCUAAAGGACAUGUAAUACCUCAUUUCUGGAGAUAUGGUCUAACAUGAAAGGGUCAUAAUCGAUGGUCAAGUCACAAAAUUUAUUUCUAGAGUCAUUUUACUAAAUAUGGAGAGAUCUGCAAAAAUUGUAUGCCUGGGGAAAAUCCCAAUCAGACCAACUGACCCAGACCAAUCAAUGACAACUCAGAGUAGUAAUGAAAAAUUCAUUUAGACUAACUCCCAUAAUUUGCUAAGAGGCACUGUACUAAGUAUAUAACACAAUAUCUCAUUGUGUGAUCCUUAUAAUAGCUCUAUGAGGUACAUGUCAUUCUUCCUAUUUUUUAGACAGAAAAGUCUCUGAUAAAUAACUUGUCCAAAGUCACGUAUUUACCACAUUUACCAGAGUUAUAACCCAAAUCGGUCUGACUCUAAAUGCUCUUAGCCAUUCAGUCCUACUGCAAAAUAAGCACACCAGUGGAGAGCAAUAGAGAAUGGGAACGCAGUCACAAUGGGAGCCUGUCAUUGGAUCUCAUGUAUGCAGAGGUUCCUUCUUCCAGGAGAGCUUUGCCCUUGUCCUCAUGAACUUUUAUGUCAAUACAUUCAAUGCACUGUAUUGGAUUUCUAGAUUGGGAGCUAAAAAAAGAACAGAUUUCUAAAUAUCAGCUAUCUUAUUUUACCAGCUUGCCUUAAACCAGUUACAGAAUAUCUCUAUUUAUAAUUAUUUUUACCUAAAAAUAGGAAUAAAACUACUCUUCAAUAUGUGAUUUUUAAAAAGGAUGAUAAAAUCAAAGGAAUUUAGAAUAAUCCUUGCACAUAGUGGGCACUUAGAAACUUUUGCUUCCUUAUUGACUCCCUUCUCCUUACAUUUCAAUCUUGUUCCAUGUCUCAUGGCCUCUUCAGAGCAGAGACUAUGUAGUAUUUACCUUCAUAUCUUCAGACAAAAUGCUUAGCAUAUAGUCGGUGGUCAGUUACUGGAAAUGAUUUAAAGACAUUGAGAAUUACUUCCUUUGAAAUUUUAAGAGGUGUGGUAAAACUUUGGUUUCAGAAUAUAUCUUUAUUGAUUUUUUAAAUAUGUAUUUUUCUUAUAUAUUAUGGUCAACCUCUUGGGAUCUUUAGAAAAGAACAUUUUCCAGUUUUUUUGAAUCUCGGGCCAAGAGAAUUAGAACACUCCAUAAAAUUACACAGGUAUAUCUGAUAAAGGCCAUACUCUAUUUUUCCAUAUAAGUAUAAAACUGUUGUAUAAAAAAUUACCUUCUGGCCAGGUGUAGUGGCUCACACCUGUAAUUUCAGCACUUUGGGAGGCCAAGGCAUGCAGAUCACUUGAGGCCAGGAGUUCAAGGCCAGCCUGGCCAACAUGGCGAAACCCCCCUCUACUAAAAUACAAAUAUUAGCUGGGCCUGGUGGCACGUGCCUGUAAUCCUAGCUACUGUGGAGGCUGAGGUGGGAGAAUUGCUUGAACCCAGGAGGCGGAGGUUGAAGUGAGCCAAGAUCAUGCCACUGCACUCUAGCCUGGGCAACAGAGCAAGACUCUGUCUCAAAUAUAUAAAUAAAUAAAUUACCUUGUAAAAUAUUAUCCUCUUCCCUCAAAUAUAUACAGUAAAAGAUGUCUGUCUAAUAUUAUAAUAUAUUUUGUUUAGCAAAAAUACAUUAGUCAGUUAUUUAUCUUAAAUUUCCUUUAUCCUCCUGAGUCUAACAUGUUUAUUUUUAUACUGGACUUUGGUCUAUCCAUUUCACAUAUGGGUCAACUAUUUCCUAUACAGAUAGUUUAGUUAUCUGUUAGCUGCAUAGCAACCUAAUCCCAAAAUAGUGUUUUAACAUUUCUUCACCAUCGCUGAGUUGUCUGGACUCAGCUGAAUGGUUGUUCUGCUUCCUAUGAUGUCAGCGAGGGCUAUAGUCAUGUGAGGUCAUACGUGGCCUACAACAUCCAAGAUGGCUGCCUCCUAUAACUGGCAACGGAUGUAAGCUGUUGGUUGAGAAAUGCUAGUAAGCAGGUCUCCUAAGUUUUCCUCCACAUGACCUCUCCAUGUGGCUGGUUUCUGAGAAGGAGUACCCAAAGAGUGAACAUUUCAAGAGAAGGAAGCAGAAGCUAAAGGUCCCUUAAGGCCUCCUUUCUGUGCAUUCAGUUGCUCAAAGGCCAGCCCAGAUUCAAAGGAGGAGAAAUAAACACUCCUGUUGAUCUGAUGUGCAUUAAAGAGAAGAAAUUAGUGAGUCAUUUUUAAAGACUGAUCAUUAAAUAUAGUUACCCUGUUAUAUUUUUUCAUAAAUGAUUUCCUUCUCCAUUCUACCCCUAUAAAUUUUUCUCUAUAUGUGAGAAUUUAAAAUCUGUGGUUUCUUUCUAUGUACUAAUCUACACAUAGUUGUGUUUAUUAUUUGUCUUUGAUGAAUAUAUUAUAUGAUACUGAAAGCCUG
rnacentral:lncRNA from 10 species